GAUGAACGCUGGCGGCGUGCCUAAUACAUGCAAGUCGAGCGAACAGACGAGGAGCUUGCUCCUCUGACGUUAGCGGCGGACGGGUGAGUAACACGUGGAUAACCUACCUAUAAGACUGGGAUAACUUCGGGAAACCGGAGCUAAUACCGGAUAAUUUAUUGAACCGCAUGGUUCAAUAGUGAAAGACGGUUUUGCUGUCACUUAUAGAUGGAUCCGCGCCGCAUUAGCUAGUUGGUAAGGUAACGGCUUACCAAGGCAACGAUGCGUAGCCGACCUGAGAGGGUGAUCGGCCACACUGGAACUGAGACACGGUCCAGACUCCUACGGGAGGCAGCAGUAGGGAAUCUUCCGCAAUGGGCGAAAGCCUGACGGAGCAACGCCGCGUGAGUGAUGAAGGUCUUCGGAUCGUAAAACUCUGAUAUUAGGGAAGAACAAAUGUGUAAGUAACUAUGCACGUCUUGACGGUACCUAAUCAGAAAGCCACGGCUAACUACGUG
rnacentral:rRNA from 1 species